UUUGUGAUUUUAGGCGUAGCAUCGUCAUCCCUCGGUGCCAACUGCCAACCAGGAAACAAAACAUGCAAAGAAACGGUUGUGGUUUCUUGACGACUCGGCUGCUGCUUCUUCUGAUAUUGGUCAUGUUAACGGUUCAUCUUGGCUUAUCAGCAAUUACGCCUGGAGGUCCCGGUGAUCCUCCCGUACAGGGGAGCCCUUCUUGCUGUCAGAAAAAUGUCUGCUGUUAAUAGACGUAUCGUGCAACGCAUGGAAGAGUCCAACAGCAUGUGUGUGUGUGGGCAACGAGUCAGCUGGAUCUCCGCUCUCCAAAUUUUUCGUUUGCUUUCCGUUUAAUCCCUAUAUAUGGUCACUGUAUUUGUACAGCUUAUUUCUUCCAAAGAGUUUGAUUCCCCUCAUAGAUAUUUCAACAUAUAUCUCUUGCAUAUUAAAGAACCAGUUUCCACGA